rnacentral:rRNA from 1 species
CUAAAAUUCUAGCCAAUUAACCCUAACUACCAAAAAACAAAACAAACCAUUUAAUCUAAUAGUAUAGGCGAUAGAAAUUUAUUAUGCGCAAUAAAAAAGUACCGCAGGGGAAAGAUGAAAUAAAAAUGAAAUAAAUAAUAAAACAAAGAAAAGAAAAGACUAAACCCUAUACCUUUUGCAUAAUGGUCUAGUAAGUCCAACCUAACAAAAAGAAAUAAAGUUAGCCACCCCGAAACUAGACGAGCUACUCAAAAGCAGCAUUAACCAGGGCCAACCCGUCUCUGUGGCAAAAGAGUGGGACGACUUUUAAGUAGAGGUGAAAAGCCUAACGAGCCUAGUGAUAGCUGGUUGCUUGAGAAAUGAAUAUUAGUUCAGCUUAAAGUACUUUCAACUAAUGAGAAAGUAAAAAUAACACUUUAAAGUUAAUUAAUAGGGGUACAGCCCUAUUAAUAAAGGACACAACCUACACAAUGAAUAAAGAUUAUAUUAACAAAAGAAAUUAACCAUGUAGGCCUAAAAGCAGCCACCACAAGAAAGCGUCAAAGCUCAACCAACCAACCCCCUUAUUAUACUAAUAAAAAAUCUAAAUUCACAAAUAUAUCAAGCCUAUCUACUAGUAGAUGAGUUUAUACUAGAAUGAGUAACAAGAACAAAUUCUCUACAUGCAAGCGUAAAUCAGGGCGAAAAAAUCACUGAUAAUUAACAACUUCAAAUACUAAACAACAAGAAAAGCACAUUAAAGUAAUUGUUAACCCGACACAGGAGCAUCAAAAAAGAUUUAAAGAUUAAAAAGGAACUCGGCAACCAAGAGCUCCGCCUGUUUACCAAAAACAUCGCCUCUUGCCCUCCAAGUAUAAGAGGUCCCGCCUGCCCAGUGAUUAAUUUUAACGGCCGCGGUAUCAUGACCGUGCAAAGGUAGCGUAAUCACUUGUCUUUUAAAUAAAGACCUGUAUGAAAGGCAAAACGAAAGCUCAACUGUCUCUUUAAUCCAAUCAGUGAAAUUAAUCUACUCCUGUGCAG